rnacentral:lncRNA from 1 species
AAAGCCGCAGAUCGCUCCACCGCUGUGCGCAGCCCCCUGCUGAGGGGCCAGCGGCUCUCCCUGGGGAGGGAGACAAUUUUCAAUGUCAUUUUCCUCUAACUGUAUGGUCUCUCUCACAGGUAUACAAGGACCCCAGAACCUUAACACAAUUCUGAGGUGGAAGAAAUGGGGAACACCAGGCCUGGCCUCAUGGAGACCGGGGAGUCAGAACCUGAGGUCUGGCUCCUGGAGCUGCUGCGAGUGAGUGGUGGAAACCUGCCCCCUUAGAGAAGCUGCAGCUGAUCAGCAUCAUGCAAGGGACUGCUGAGAUGGUAGCAUGCUGGUAAUGAAGUGUUAUGGAGCCACUCCAUCCUUUAUUCAUCCUUUUCCUCAUACACACAGAGAGCAAAGGACAGGAACCAGCUACAGAAUUUGCAAGUGGAGAAUCCAGGUACCUUUAAAAGUCUAUUUAGUGAAAAUCUCUGGCUAUUGAUGUGACGGUUAAUUUUAUGUGCCAACUUGGCUAGGCCAUGGUACCCAGUUUUUCAUAAAAGAUCAGUCUAGAUGUUGUGAAGGUAUAUUUUUAAAUGUGAUUAACAUUUUAUUCAGUGGACUUCAAGUAAAGCAGAUUAUCCUCCAUAUAGUGGGUGGGCCUUCUCCAAUCAGGCCUUAAGAGCAAAGACCAUGGUUUCUCAAAGAAAGAAUUUUCCUCAAGACUGCAACAUAGAGACCUUGCCUGAGUUUCCAGCCUGAUACCCUGAAGAAUUUGGACUCAAGACUGCAAUAUCAG